rnacentral:rRNA from 1 species
GAGACAUCUUUUAAGGGUCGUUGGAGAUGACGACGUUGAUAGGCUACAGGUGUAAAGCUGGUAACAGCAUAGCCGAGUAGUACUAAUUACCCGUAGAUUUAUAGCCU